rnacentral:misc_RNA from 1 species
AACGCACAUUGCGCCCGCCAGCACUCUGGCGGGCAUGCCUGUUCGAGCGUCAUUUCAACCAUCAAGCCCCAGGCUUGCGUUGGAGCCCUGCGGCUGCCGCAGCCUCCUAAAAGCAGUGGCGGGCUCGCUAUCACACCGAGUGCAGUAGAUUUCUCUUCGCUCAGGGCGUGUGGCGGGUUCCAGCCGUGAAACUCCCUACUUUUUAAGGUUGACCUCGGAUCAGGUAGGAAUACCCGCUGAACUUAA